GUCUGUUACACCACUGUUGCUGCUUGCACUCGAAGCGGCGAUUGUGUGGUAAUGACUCCAUCAACUUGGCAUCCUCAAGAUCAUCGGCUUCGCUUCGUGAGCGAUGACGUUGAUGGCAUAGGAAGCGGCUGACACUUGGUAACUGACACGGUUGUCCUAUUGUGCUUGGUGUCUCCUUUCUGGCAACAAGUAAAGGAGUUCAGCACAGGACAUCUGUCCUUGCUCAUGCUGAGCGUCAAGAACAACACUCAG